GUAGCGGGUUAGCUGUUCCAGUACAGGACGGGGAGUGUGAGCCACACUAUUUGUACGACUACCACCAAGCAACACCGACGCCAGCUGUGUUCUGUCUACGUCGUCCAGCAAAGUAUACGACUUUGGCUUAGACCCCGGGGGAUGAUUUGGCCGACUGGAGCUCAUGGUUAUGGCUUGGUUUAGGUGACAAAUGACGAAAAGGUGGGAGGCCUUAUGACUAUGGCAGAGGCUUCAAUCAGGGUAAUUGUGCUGGUGACUGCGGAAAUAUUUCAGACAACAUGGGGACUACAUCCCCUAGGCCUCUCACUCUGGCUAAAUGAGGAACAACAUUGGUGGUGGCGGCAGCACUGGCAGGAAUUUUUGUAAAAUGGAGAAAAUCAGAUGCAAGGAUGAACAGUAGUUUUGUAUAGUCCCUGACUGAGUACUGAGAAAGGAGAGGAGAGCAACAGGGUAGCUGUCGGGUUACUUUGCAAAUCUGCACCUCCAUACUGCAGGUGACAGGAGAGAUAUGAUAGAGUAGAGAAGGACUAGAGGCUGGACACCAGGAACUCGUGGAUCAAAGAGGCGAGGACUCUGCCUGUGCUCCAACCAGAAACCAACACGCACCACACUCAAAAACAUACAUUCAAUAUGUCAAAAGGGACUGCCCCUUUUCUCUUUCACAAAGUAUAAAUAUUGUGUGAUGUCACAUGUCGAGGCUCUGGUUGGAAAUUAAAGAGUACCUGCUUGCAGUCUGUGGCUCACUAAACCC